ensembl:snoRNA
AUCCUUUUGUAGUGCACAGGCGUGACGACUGGGUUUUCCCACCCUUGUGUGACGUGUGCCUCCUACAAAUCUUGUUAUGAUGUCCGCAUAUGACCUCUCUGACA